rnacentral:rRNA from 1 species
GAGUUUGAUCCUGGCUCAGAUUGAACGCUGGCGGCAGGCCUAACACAUGCAAGUCGAACGGUAACAGGAAACAGCUUGCUGUUUCGCUGACGAGUGGCGGACGGGUGAGUAAUGUCUGGGAAACUGCCUGAUGGAGGGGGAUAACUACUGGAAACGGUAGCUAAUACCGCAUAACGUCGCAAGACCAAAGAGGGGGACCUUCGGGCCUCUUGCCAUCGGAUGUGCCCAGAUGGGAUUAGCUUGUUGGUGGGGUAACGGCUCACCAAGGCGACGAUCCCUAGCUGGUCUGAGAGGAUGACCAGCCACACUGGAACUGAGACACGGUCCAGACUCCUACGGGAGGCAGCAGUGGGGAAUAUUGCACAAUGGGCGCAAGCCUGAUGCAGCCAUGCCGCGUGUAUGAAGAAGGCCUUCGGGUUGUAAAGUACUUUCAGCGGGGAGGAAGGGAGUAAAGUUAAUACCUUUGCUCAUUGACGUUACCCGCAGAAGAAGCACCGGCUAACUCCGUGCCAGCAGCCGCGGUAAUACGGAGGGUGCAAGCGUUAAUCGGAAUUACUGGGCGUAAAGCGCACGCAGGCGGUUUGUUAAGUCAGAUGUGAAAUCCCCGGGCUCAACCUGGGAACUGCAUCUGAUACUGGCAAGCUUGAGUCUCGUAGAGGGGGGUAGAAUUCCAGGUGUAGCGGUGAAAUGCGUAGA